UAUGUGAUCGUCUCUCGCAUAUCAAUAAGCGGAGGAAAAGAAACUAACAAGGACUCCCCUAGUAACGGCGAGUGAAGCGGGAAGAGCUCAAAUUUGAAAUCUUAAAGGGUUUCCCUUUACGAAUUGUAGUUUAAAGAAGUGUUUUCUGUUGAGGUUUUGGUAAAAGUUCUUUGGAAUAGGACAUCAUAGAGGGUGAGAAUCCCGUAUUUGACCUUUACUUUCAACUUUGUGAUACACUUUCAAAGAGUCGGAUUGUUCGGGAAUGCAGUCCAAAAUGGGUGGUAAAUUUCAUCUAAAGCUAAAUAUUGGCGAGAGACCGAUAGCGAACAAGUACCGUGAGGGAAAGAUGAAAAGAACUUUGAAAAGAGAGUUAAACAGUACGUGAAAUUGUCAAAAGGGAAGCGUUUGACACCAGUGUUGUUUUUCUGAAAAUCAAUUAAAGAACUGUUUAUGCUAAGCUGUUUAGACUUUAUCAGCUAUCUGUUUAGUUUUGAGCUUUUCUUUAAUGCACUUUUCAGUUAACAAGUCAACAUCAAUUUCUUUUGCUGUAAAAAGCUUGAGGAAGGUGGCUUGAGAUUCGUCUUAAGUGUUUAUAGCCUCUUGCCUAUGCAGUCGGAGAGAUUGAGGUCUGCAGCGUAGAUCCUUCGGGGCUAAAUGCAUUUGUGCUAAGUUAUAGCAUUUUAUAGACAACUUGUUGACUAUGAUUUGUCUUGUAGCUUACUCGCUUAUGUUAUUUUACCUACGCUUAGGAUGUUGAUCUGUAGUGCGUGCGC
rnacentral:rRNA from 1 species